GAUGCGCGUGGUUCAAUCUAUGAUCGCGAUCACCAAUCGAGUCGCCCGCGUCGUCCUCUGAUCGCCGGUCGCCGCCCUUUUUGGGAUGUUUGGUCUGCUUUAAACAAGUUGCUGUACUUAGAGAACGAGAGAGUUAAAUAACGCGCGAGGAUUAAACGGUCUUUUACAACAAGUUGUCGAGUCGAUGUUGGUGAACGUUAGAGUUGUCGAUACUUCUCUGUUACGCACGUGCAAUGAGAGCCGCCAAGCUUGCAGUUUCUUCGCUACCGAAUUCAAGGCACGCUCGUCGAAACAUUAUUUCAACUGUGGUCAGCCAGUAGUCGGCGCGAUCCACCCGGUGCUUAAUAUCCGCGGCACGUUCCAUUGAUAUUCAACGAGCGAAUGAUGAGCAAGUCGAUACGUGAUAGCAGGAAACGUGAUGUUGCGGGAGGGAGGAGGAGGCCGAAGGGAUACAACGAUAUGAGACACCAUUAUCUCUCGCAUGUUAGGAGAUCAAUCGGUAUACGAUUUACUUUAGGAAAUAAUCGACGGUAAUUUUCUGUGUUAGUUUGACGCGCUGCAGCUUAUACAUAAUUCUCACAUGAUUAAAUUCUCUUUUAAACAUUAAAUUUAUAUUAAGCAUUAUCGAGAA